UUGACUACAAGGCUUUAGAUUGACCUAUACUUUAUCUGGGUCUUCCUUUGGGAGGGAAUCCAACUGCUUGUGGAUUCUGGGAUCCAGUGAUUGAGAGAAUCUCUAGGAGAUUAGACAGGUGGCAAAAGGCUUAUUUAUCUUUCGAUGGUAGGAUAACUCUCCUACACUCAUGCCUAUCCCACAUCCCUAACUACUUUAUUUCUCUGUUUAAGAUUCCUGUUUCAGUGGCUGCAAAAGUUGAGAGGAUGCAAAGGGACUUUCUUUGGUCAGGGGUUGGGGAAGGUAAAAGAGACCAUCUUGUUAGUUGGGAUGCAGUGUGUAAGCUGAUGGUAAAAGGGGGUUUGGGGAUUGGGAAGAUUCCUUUAAGGAAUCGCGCUCUUUUAGGGAAAUAGUUGUGGAGGUUUCCUAGGGAGAGUACAGUUCUGUGGCAUUAGGUCAUUCUUAGCACCUAUGGGACACACUCAAAUGGUUGUGAUGUCAACACUUUAGUCAGGUGGUCACAUCGUUGUCUUUGGAAGGCUAUUGCAUAAGUCUUUCAGGAUUUUUCCAAGUAUACUCAAUUUGUUGUAGGAGAUGGGGAAAGAAUUCGUUUUUGGGAAGAUUUGUGGUGGGGGGACCAAAUCUUCAAAGACCAAUGUCCAAGACUAUUUAGAGUAGUAACGGAUAAAAAUAUUCUUAUAUAUUCAAUUCUCGGUUUGGCUCGCCCUUUCUCAUGGAACUUUAAUUUCCGUCGUAAUCUAACCGAUUCUGAGAUAGAAGAUCUAGAACGCCUCAUGUGCUCUUGAUUGUAUGAAUUUAUCCACUUCCGCUUCAAAUGCGAGAUCUUGGUCCUUAUUGUCUUCAAGAUUGUUUAUAGUCAAGUCUUUCUUUACAACCUUGUCCCAAAUGCCUGAUUCAUUUCCAUUUUUCCCCAUUAAGUUUGUGGAAAUCUCAAGUCCCUUUCAAAGUUAAGGUCUUUGUCUGGCUUGUGGCACACAAGAAGGUAAAUACCAAUGACUUGCUACAAUUGAGGAGACCCCACAAAGCUUUUAGCCCUGACAUUUGUAAGUUGUGUAUGGAGCAAGGAGAAUCAACAGAUCAUCUCUUCCUUCAUUGUUUUGUGACGUUGGGGUUGUGGCACAAACUAUUUCAGCUAGCCAAGAUGGAUUGGGUUCCUCCGAAAAGCAUUUCAGACAUGAUGUUCAUCAAUUAUAAAGGUUUUGGCAAGUCCAAGAGAGGGUUAGUUUUGUGGCAAAACGCGUGCAUAACUUUAAUUUGGGUUAUAUGGCGGGAAAGAAAUGCUAGGAUAUUUGAGGACAAAGCUAGGAAUUCAGAGAAUCUUUGGGACUCCAUUCAUUUCCUCGCUUCUUUUUGGGCUUUUUGUUUUGUGGGUUUUAAGGGCAUCCCCCUUAACGUAUUACAACUAGAUUGGCUAGCAGUGUGUAGUUCCAAUGGGACAAUGUAGUGUCUUGUUAUUUUUUUGUGUUGUUUAGUUUUACCUUUGGUAGGAGGAUUUCUCAUCCUCCUUUUGUACUAUUUUUUUCUAUCAAUAUAUUCAUGCGUGGUUUCCUAUCAAAAAAAAAAAAAAAAAUUGUGUUAUUCUUGCACUUAUCACUUGUUCAUUAGCAUUUUCAAUUGUUUCCCUACGCCCUCAAAUGUAACUUGAUUUGAACCAUGUUAGUUGUUGAGCUGCUUAUGGGCACAUCCCAUUUAAAUUCUUAUGAGUACACCUAAGAUGUUUUUUCAAUUCAUAUUAAUCCAGGCUUGUUUUAACCCCCACCUAGUAACCAUCCUGCUUGUUUCUUCCUUCCUUUACUUCUUCAUGGUUGAACUUCAUUUCACACAGCAUGCCACCUUAUAGUACUUUAGAAGUAUAGGAAUAUGGUUCCAUUACCAAAACAUUUACAGCUACUACUUGUGCUAUUUUAACUUUUCCUAGAUAUCCUAUUCAGGGAGAAGUCCUUGUUUUUUGGUGUGAAUUAUUAAUAAGAGUAAAUAUAUUUAUAAAUAGUUUCAAUGAGUUAUUGCAAUCUUCCCGUUUAAAUCUCUUGCAUCCCAAUCAGAUAAGGCCACAAAAGUGCAGUGGUUAGCUCAUUUAAGAAUAUCCUGACUCUCUGCCCAGAUUAAUUAAUUGGGUUACAUAAUAUAGGUGCACUUACCUUGUAUCAGAAUAACCUGAUUUAAUGAGCAGUUGAUGAGCUUGGCCUAUAAAAUCAGCCCUUACUUUGAGAUAAAACUAAUUUAAGAGAUAUACUCAAAAGGAAAGAAGGUAAGGAGGUGGGCAUGGGAGCGAAAGGUGCUAAGGUUAUGUGUGUGAUGGUCAUUUUGGUGGUUAUGCUAGCCCCUCAAGUCACAGCAGGGAUAUAUACCUGUUGGGGUGGGUGCUAUAACCAGUGUGUUAUCGAAAUAGGUCAUUCUCAGAUACCAAAUCUGCCAUGUACUUGGAAAUGCUUAAAUGGCUGUCUUCCUUCUCUAGGUUCUGUUUCCAGUAAGUAUUGCUACCUCGGUUGCUCUUUGGAUAGGUGCAUCGAAUUCUCUGGUGAUGUACCGCAAAUGGACGGCUGUGUAAGCAAAUGCUCUGAUCCAUGCCAGUGAAGUCUCAAUGUUUUGGCAUUGUCUCCAUGUUCAAGAUUAGCCACCUUUAUAUAUGAUAUAAUGAAUAAAGCCGUGUUACACUUCAUCUAUGAAUCAGAUUAGUAUAUAAAAUGAAAGAUUCCAUCGUGGUGAUC